AUUGAACGCUGGCGGCAGGCCUAACACAUGCAAGUCGAGCGGAUGAAGGGAGCUUGCUCCUGGCUUCAGCGGCGGACGGGUGAGUAAUGCCUAGGAAUCUGCCUGGUAGUGGGGGAUAACGUCAGGACACGGGCGCUAAUACCGCAUACGUCAUGAGGGAGAAAGUGGGGGAUCUUCGGACCUCACGCUAUCAGAUGAGACUAGGUCGGAUUAGCUAGUUGGUGGGGUAAAGGCCUACCAAGGCGACGAUCCGUAACUGGUCUGAGAGGAUGAUCAGUCACACUGGAACUGAGACACGGUCCAGACUCCUACGGGAGGCAGCAGUGGGGAAUAUUGGACAAUGGGCGAAAGCCUGAUCCAGCCAUGCCGCGUGUGUGAAGAAGGUCUUCGGACUGUAAAGCACUUUAAGUUGGGAGGAAGGGCAGUAAGUGAAUACCUUGCUGUUUUGACGUUACCAACAGAAUAAGCACCGGCUAACUUCGUG
rnacentral:rRNA from 1 species